CCUACGGGAGGCAGCAGUGGGGAAUAUUGCACAAUGGGCGCAAGCCUGAUGCAGCCAUGCCGCGUGUGUGAAGAAGGCCUUCGGGUUGUAAAGCACUUUCAGUCAGGAGGAAAGGGUGUGAGUUAAUACCUCACAUCUGUGACGUUACUGACAGAAGAAGCACCGGCUAAGUCCGUGCCAGCAGCCGCGGUAAU
rnacentral:rRNA from 1 species